rnacentral:rRNA from 1 species
GACGAACGCUGGCGGCGUGCUUAACACAUGCAAGUCGAACGGUAAGGCCCUUCGGGGUACACGAGUGGCGAACGGGUGAGUAACACGUGGGUGAUCUGCCCUGCACUUCGGGAUAAGCCUGGGAAACUGGGUCUAAUACCGGAUAGGACCACUGCCUGCAUGGGUGGUGGUGGAAAGCUUUUGCGGUGUGGGAUGGGCCCGCGGCCUAUCAGCUUGUUGGUGGGGUGAUGGCCUACCAAGGCGACGACGGGUAGCCGGCCUGAGAGGGUGACCGGCCACACUGGGACUGAGAUACGGCCCAGACUCCUACGGGAGGCAGCAGUGGGGAAUAUUGCACAAUGGGCGCAAGCCUGAUGCAGCGACGCCGCGUGAGGGAUGACGGCCUUCGGGUUGUAAACCUCUUUCAGCACCGACGAAGCGCAAGUGACGGUAGGUGCAGAAGAAGGACCGGCCAACUACGUGCCAGCCGCCGCGGUAAAAC